rnacentral:rRNA from 1 species
CUACGGGGUGCAGCAGUGAGGAAUAUUGCACAAUGGGGGAAACCCUGAUGCAGCAACGCCGCGUGGAGGAUGACGCAUUUCGGUGUGUAAACUCCUUUUAUGAGUCAAGAAAAUGACGGUAGCUCAUGAAUAAGCACCGGCUAACUCCGUGCCAGCAGCCGCGGUAAUACGGAGGGUGCAAGCGUUACUCGGAAUCACUGGGCGUAAAGGACGCGUAGGCGGGACGUCAAGUCAGGUGUGAAAUCCUAUGGCUCAACCAUAGAACUGCACUUGAAACUGGCAACCUAGAGUAUGGGAGGGGGAGAUGGAAUUAGUGGUGUAGGGGUAAUAUCCGUAGAUAUCACUAGGAAUACCUAAAGCGAAGGCGAUCUCCUGGAACAUUACUGACGCUAAGGCGUGAAAGCGUGGGGAGCAAACAGGAUUAGAUACCCGGGUAGUC